rnacentral:rRNA from 1 species
AUUGAACGCUGGCGGCAUGCUUUACACAUGCAAGUCGAACGGUAACAGGGUGCUUGCACCGCUGACGAGUGGCGAACGGGUGAGUAAUGCGUCGGAACGUGCCGAGUAGUGGGGGAUAACGCAGCGAAAGUUGUGCUAAUACCGCAUACGUACUGAGGUAGAAAGUGGGGGACCUUCGGGCCUCACGCUAUUCGAGCGGCCGAAGUCUGAUUAGCUAGUAGGUGAGGUAAAGGCUCACCUAGGCGACGAGCAGUAGCGGGUCUGGGAGGAUGAUCGGACACACUGGGACUGAGAAACGGCCCAGAAUCCUACGUGCGGCAGCAGUGGGGAAUUUUGGACAAUGGGCGAAAGCCUGAUCCAGCCAUGCCGCGUGUCUGAAGAAGGCCUUCGGGUUGUAAAGGACUUUUGUCAGGGAGGAAAUCCCUAGUGCUAAUAACACUGGGGGAUGACAGUACCUGAAGAAUAAGCACCGGCUAACUACGUGCCAGCCGCCGCGGUAA